rnacentral:rRNA from 1 species
AGAGUUUGAUCCUGGCUCAGGAUGAACGCUGGCUACAGGCUUAACACAUGCAAGUCGUGGGGAAACGGCAUUAUGUGCUUGCACAUUCUGGACGUCGACCGGCGCACGGGUGAGUAUCGCGUAUCCAACCUGCCCCUUACUUGGGGAUACCCCGUUGAAAGACGGCCUAAUACCCGAUGUGUUUCAUUGACGGCAUCCGAUAUGAAACAAAGGUUUUCCGGUAAGGGAUGGGGAUGCGUCUGAUUAGCUAGUUGGCGGGGCAACGGCCCACCAAGGCGACGAUCAGUAGGGGUUCUGAGAGGAAGGUCCCCCACAUUGGAACUGAGACACGGUCCAAACUCCUACGGGAGGCAGCAGUGAGGAAUAUUGGUCAAUGGACGCAAGUCUGAACCAGCCAAGUAGCGUGCAGGAUGACGGCCCUAUGGGUUGUAAACUGCUUUUAUGCGGGGAUAAAGUGAGGGACGUGUCCUUCAUUGCAGGUACCGCAUGAAUAAGGACCGGCUAAUUCCGUGCCAGCAGCCGCGGUAAUACGGAAGGUCCGGGCGUUAUCCGGAUUUAUUGGGUUUAAAGGGAGUGUAGGCGGUCUGUUAAGCGUGUUGUGAAAUUUAGGUGCUCAACAUUUAACUUGCAGCGCGAACUGUCAGACUUGAGUACACGCAGCGCAGGCGGAAUUCAUGGUGUAGCGGUGAAAUGCUUAGAUAUCAUGAGGAACUCCGAUCGCGAAGGCAGCCUGCGGGAGUGUUACUGACGCUUAAGCUCGAAGGUGCGGGUAUCGAACAGGAUUAGAUACCCUGGUAGUCCGCACAGUAAACGAUGGAUGCCCGCCGUUGGCGCCCUGCGCCUGCGGCCAAGCGAAAGCAUUAAGCAUCCCACCUGGGGAGUACGCCGGCAACGGUGAAACUCAAAGGAAUUGACGGGGGCCCG